rnacentral:misc_RNA from 1 species
AACGCACAUUGCGCCCACUGGUAUUCCGGUGGGCAUGCCUGUCUGAGCGUCAGUAUAAUCUCAAGCAACCGCUUGGUAUUGGAAGAUGAUCUGCCUAGCAGUUCCCUUCUUAAACUGAUUGGCAAGUUUACAUAGCAGCAAGCGUAGUAGAAAUACCAUCAGCUUAGUUACUCUGUAUAGCUUUGUCAAAAUCAAACUAUUUUUAAGGUUUGACCUCAGAUCAGGUAAGGAUACCCCCUGAACUUAA